CAGCAGCCGCGGUAACACAGAGGGUGCGAGCGUUAAUCGGAUUUACUGGGCGUAAAGCGUGCGUAGGCGGCUUUUUAAGUCGGAUGUGAAAUCCCUGAGCUUAACUUAGGAAUUGCAUUCGAUACUGGGAAGCUAGAGUAUGGGAGAGGAUGGUAGAAUUCCAGGUGUAGCGGUGAAAUGCGUAGAGAUCUGGAGGAAUACCGAUGGCGAAGGCAGCCAUCUGGCCUAAUACUGACGCUGAGGUACGAAAGCAUGGGGAGCAAACAGGAUUAGAUACCCCAGUAGUCCCUGUCUCUUAUAC
rnacentral:rRNA from 1 species